rnacentral:rRNA from 1 species
GAUGAACGCUGACAGAAUGCUUAACACAUGCAAGUCUUUGGCGAAGCUGUGCUUGCACAGCCUAGCCAAGGCGGACGGGUGAGUAACGCGUAAGGAACUUGCCCUGCAGUCAGGGAUAACAGACGGAAACGACUGAUAAGACCUGGUAAAGUCAGGCGGACUCAUGUCCAGCCUGAUGAAAAGAGAUGCUGCAGGAGAGCCUUGCGUCCUAUUAGCUUGUUGGUGGGGUAACGGCCCACCAAGGCGAUGAUAGGUAGCCGGCCUGAGAGGGUGGACGGCCAAAAGGGGAAUGAGAUACGGCACUUAAUCCUACGGGAGGCAGCAGUGGGGAAUAUUGGACAAAGGGGGCAACCCUGAUCCAGAAAUUCUGUGUGCACGAUGAAGGUUUUCGGAUUGUAAAGUGCUUUCAGCAGGGAAGAAAAAAAUGACGGUACCUGCAGAAGAAGCGACGGCUAAAUACGUG